UCCUACGGGAGGCAGCAGUGGGGAAUUUUGGACAAUGGGCGCAAGCCUGAUCCCGCAAUGCCGCGUGCAGGAAGAAGGCCUUCGGGUUGUAAACUGCUUUUGUCAGGGAAGAAAUCUUCUGGGCUAAUACCCCGGGAGGAUGACGGUACCUGAAGAAUAAGCACCGGCUAACUACGUGCCAGCAGCCGCGGUAAUACGUAGGGUGCGAGCGUUAAUCGGAAUUACUGGGCGUAAAGCGUGCGCAGGCGGCUUUGCAAGACAGAGGUGAAAUCCCCGGGCUCAACCUGGGAACUGCCUUUGUGACUGCAAGGCUAGAGUACGGCAGAGGGGGAUGGAAUUCCGCGUGUAGCAGUGAAAUGCGUAGAUAUGCGGAGGAACACCGAUGGCGAAGGCAAUCCCCUGGGCCUGUACUGACGCUCAUGCACGAAAGCGUGGGGAGCAAACAGGAUUAGAUACCCUGGUAGUCCACGCCCUAAACGAUGUCAACUGGUUGUUGGACGGCUUGCUGUUCAGUAACGAAGCUAACGCGUGAAGUUGACCGCCUGGGGAGUACGGCCGCAAGGUUGAAACUCAA
rnacentral:rRNA from 1 species